CUUUAUUGGGAGCAUCGCCGCAGGGCGCACAGUCUCAGGACAGGACUUCGAACAACUUUUUUUUUUUUUUUUUUUAAAGAACCAUAACAUUUUUAUUAUAGUUUUCGAGUCAUAGAACACUACGUGUACCACCCAGGAAAACCCGAUUUCACUGGACAACUACCCCUCGCUGCCUGCAGACCUUCAUUGCUCACACUGGGCACAGCACAGAGCUGGUCGCAGGAACAUCUGCCUGCGCCCUCAUCCUCCAACCAGGAAGACACCUGAGUUUUCAUCUUGUGUGGCUGGAGGAGCUGACUCAGAAGGUGGCUUACGUGAUUUGCCUUUCCUGAAUGGAUUGCUUCUGCCAAGACUCCCGUCAUGGACUUACAGAAUGUCUUCUCCACUGAUACGGUGUUCCACACAGUAUUGCUUCUGACCAAGGAACUCCCUUCACAGGCAGAGAGGAGUGUGACAGUGGGUCCAUGACCGUGGAAUCCACUGCUCUUACCAUGUCCCCCACCAGUCUGGAGCAGCUGAUAGAAAGAUGGAUGGCCUUUUGGAGACACAGUUAUAAUGCCAAUUAGGUGGCAGCAGCCUGGAGGGCGGGGGCAGGGGUCUCCAGAAGGCAGUAUAUGCUUUGAAUCAUCAGCAUCUAAUGUAUGGCAUGGUUUCUCCCAUAGCCAGGGUCCAUGGGUCCAGGAAGCAAGGAGUGAAAAAGGGAAUAGUUCCACUCAUUAUCACCCCUAGUGACCCACUAGAAAAGUUUUUUCUUCCUGUUCUCCCAAUCUUAGUUUCUGCUGAUCUGGAAGUUUUGGCUCCAGAGUGGGGAGUGUUCCUGCCAGGAGCCACGACAAGUAACUCCAUUGAACUGGAAGCUCAGAUUUCCCUCUGGUCACUUUGGUCUUCUACUGCCCUUAAACCAACAGGCUAAGAAAGGAACACCAGUGUUAGGAGGGGUGAUUGAUCCAGAUUACCACGGGGAAAUUGGAUUGCCGCUUCACAGUGGAGGUAAGAAGGAUUAUGUGUGAGUGCAGGAGACACUUUAGGGUGUCUCUUGGUGCUACCACGCCCUGUGAUUAAAAUCCAUGGGGAACUACAACAGUCUCACCCAGGCAGGGUGACAGGGGACACAGACCCAUCAGGAAAGAAGGCAUGAGUCACUCCUCCAGGAAAAGAGCCAAGCCCUGCUGAGGUUCUUGCUGAGGGUGGGGGAAAUACAGAAUAGUAUGUGACCAGUUGCAGAAAAGAGGAUUAGAAUUGGCAUGAGUGUUUCUGUCGUAUUUUGUUAAGAAUGUGUUUACAGUGUCACUGUGUGUCUGUGUGCGUUCAGGCAGAUCUGAAUGAAAACUCAGAGGCACCUUAAGAAUGAAUCUAGCCUUUCACAGCUACAGGGGGAUCCAGCCUCUAAGGACUGAAGCACUUUGCUUUCGCCCAGAGCAUUUUUAUUUUUCUCAAUAUUUACACUUUAGCCAGUUGAUUUUCAUAAGCUCAAAACAACCUGAAAGAAGCUCCAAAAAAAUACAAUGCCAAGUGCAAAUUCCUUGAUUCAUUGGGUACCAUAGUUUUUCAGGUUUCCUGACCCAAGUUUUCGCAUAGGCCUUUGCAUCUUUGGGAGACUCUCAGACAAGAUUCACACAGUGGGCAACAAGAGAAACAAAAGGUAACAGAGAAACAGACGAUGGAUUACGGCUACUUGCUAUCACUCUGGAGCUAGGCUAGGUGUAGCCCAGUGGGAAUUCUACCACAGUACAGAUAUUUAUGUUUUCUUUCCUCAAUUUCUUUAUCAUGAGAUGUAAUAGCAGUUAAGAGAAUAUCAAUGGUUAUCAUAUUUUAAAUUUGAGAUACUAAAAGAAUGUCCCUCAAGGAUCAUUGCCACCUAGUCUAAAUUUAUAAUGCACUUGUAGUGGUACAAGGAAUAGUUAUAUCGUGUCAGGUGUAAUUAUGGCCUGGUUAAAUAUGUAAUUCAUUUGCAAUUUGGGGGGGAUAGUUAUAUUAUGUUUAGGCACUCUUACUACCUGGCUAUUAUUUUCUUUUGAAAAUUAAUCACGACAUAAGGAGAUAUGAUUGUGUGUUAAGUUAACAAGAGGCUGACUUGUGAUGUCUAUUCUUGGUUGUCAACUUGACUACAUCUGGAAUUAAUUAAAACACAAAAAUAGAGGACACAUCUGGGAGGGAUUUCUGCUUAAUUUGAAGUGGGAAGAUCUACUUCUAAUCUGGAUCUCUGAGGUAGGAAGACACCUCUAAUCCAGAUCUUGAACCUAGAUUGAAUUUGGGCCACAUCUCUACUGGAAGCCUACAAAAGGAUAUAGAAGAAGGAAGCUUUUGUUCUUUGCCUGCUUGCUCUCGCUUGCUAGCAAGUCCAUUCCUUCACUGGCAUUAGAGCCUGCUUCUUCGGGAUUCCAGCAUAAC